CUGAGUUCCUGCCCUCAAAAGAGCUUACAUUCUGCUGUGAGGAUACAACAUGCAAAUAUGUAAAUAUAUAUUUGAAGCAGAAAAGAGAACUAGGAUAUCCAAUAGUUAGGGGCUCAGGAAAAUUUUCUGUAAGAGUUAUCAUAUGAAGAAAGCUGGAGAUUCUAAGGAACAGAAGUAAGAGAGUCAUCGAAGUCCAGCAGCAGGACAAAAGUCAGGAGAGCGGGUGAUGGACCGGGAUGCAGGGGAUGACCUUCCAAGCUCUAAGUGCCCCACUUCUGCAGCCUUGGGACAGUUGGAACAAAUUGUUCCCAUCUGCCUGUUCCACUAGAAGAAGUCUUCACAUGCUUGAAGGCAACCUACCCCCAGCUCACUGACUGGUUUGAGGCACUCAACCUAGGUCAGCCUAUCAUUAGGACAGUUUUACUGGGAUGUGGCUUUUAUGCAUGCUACAGCUUCUUAGAGCCACAGGUGAGAGUUGGGCAACUGAGAACACCCAAGGUGGAUGAGCAGCUCUCAAAAAGAGCUUUGCAAGACCUCACGCAAAGGUACUAGUCCUCCUGGAACGGCCCUAUGAGAUUUGUAUUCAGGUUCCAGAUUAUCUAGAUACAUAAAGCACUUUGAUAACCUUAAUUAAAUAAAUGUCAAAUAAUAUUCUUAUUACAAUACUUUAUUUUCUUUCACUUAUUAGUUCCCAUAAAUGCCAUGUUUGAAGAUUUAUCAAUAUUGUGUCUGAAAAAAUUUCCUCAAAAAUGUUUCCAUUUGACGUGGCUCUCUUCAACAAUGAGAUGAUUCAAACCAUUCAAAUUCAGUGAUGAAGAAAGCUAUCUACACCCAGAGAGAGAACUAUGGGAACAGAGUGUGGAACACAGCAGAGCAUUCUCGCUCUUUUUGUUGUUGUUUACUUGCAUUUUGUUUUCUUUCUCAGUUUUUUUUUCCUUCUUGAUCUGAUUUUUCUUGUGCAGCAAGAUAACUGUGUAAAUAUGUACACACACACACACACACACACACACACACACAUAUAUUGGAUUUAACAUGUAUUUCAUUUCAACAUAUUCAACAUGUAUUGGACUACUUGCCAGUUAGAGUCAGGAGUGGAGGGAAGAAGGGGAAAAUUUGGAACAAAAAGGUUUUUUUACCCAUACAUAUAUUUUGUAAAUAAAAAGCUUUAGUUUAAAAAAAAAGUUUCCAUUUAAUAAGGCCUUUUCCUUCUGUAACAAGCCUUAACUACCUGAAUAAAUAGUCUACUGCAUGUUGAGCACCUCCUUCCCUCAAAAUUCUCUGGUACCCCCAGAGGAUUUUCUUUUGUCUGCCAUUUGCUCCAGACUUCAAUGAUGCUGCUCCUUCAUUUCUAGGGUCCAGUAACUAUCAUCCCACUUCCAUUUAAUCACCAAUUUUGAAUUAGCUUUCAUAAAGGGAUAUUUACUUUAAAGAUAUAACAAAUAACAAAUGACAGUCAUUUCUCUCACAACCCCAAAGCAUAAUCCCCCCAAAAAUCAUGCUUAAUAUUUGUUUUUCUUCAUAUAAUUAUUAUCUCACUACUUAGACAAAGCUACAUUUUUCAGUAAAUAGAAUGUUUAAGCCUAGGAUCAGAAAGACCAGAUAUUUAUUAUGUGACUAUGAGCAAGUCACCUAAUCACUGUCUCAGUUUCCUUACCUAUUAAAAAAAAACCAACUACCUCUUAGUAUUGUUGUGAGAAUCAAGUGAGUUAAUAUUUAUAAAAUGUCUGGCACAUACAAGGUCUUUAAUACAUGCUUGUUUGUUCCUCCCCUCCUAAUAUUUUUUUUUACUUUAAAAUUAAUUGAGAAGAAGUUUUGCUUACUUUCUUUAAUCAUCCAAAAUUUACUGUCAUUUAAAAUUAAUUGCAGACAUGAGAGCUGUCAUGUGUUAGGAUAAAAGAAGCAUGGAUGUUGAGAUAAAGAAACUGGGUCCAAUUUCUGGCUUAGUCACUAACCAUCUGCAUGACUUUAGUCAAUUACUCUCCUUUUCAGACUUUUAGAUUCUGCUUCUAUAAUGAAUGGAUUGAUCUUUCUUGGAAUUCUAUGAUUCUAUUAGUAAAUAAAUAUUUAAUUAGCA